CUAAUACAUGCAAGUCGAGCGCGGGAAGCCGGACAGAUCCCUCCGGGGUGACGACCGGUGGAACGAGCGGCGGAUGGGUGAGUAACACGUGGGCAACCUGCCUGUAAGCCUGGGAUAACUCGCGGAAACGCGAGCUAAUACCGGAUGCGCCUUUUGUUCGCAUGAACGAAAGGUAAAAGGCGGCUUUUGCUGUCACUUACAGAUGGGCCCGCGGCGCAUUAGCUAGUUGGUGAGGUAACGGCUCACCAAAGCGACGAUGCGUAGCCGACCUGAGAGGGUGAUCGGCCACACUGGGACUGAGACACGGCCCAGACUCCUACGGGAGGCAGCAGUAGGGAAUCUUCCGCAAUGGACGAAAGUCUGACGGAGCGACGCCGCGUGAGUGAUGAAGGUCUUCGGAUCGUAAAACUCUGUUGUUAGGGAAGAAUAAGUAUAAGGCGAAUAACCUUAUACCUUGACGGUACCUAACCAGAAAGCCCCGGCUAACUACGUGCCAGCAGCCGCGGUAAUACGUAGGGGGCGAGCGUUGUCCGGAAUUAUUGGGCGUAAAGGGUGCGUAGGCGGUCUCUUAAGUCUGAUGUGAAAGCCCACGGCUUAACCGUGGAGGGUCAUUGGAAACUGGGAGACUUGAGUGCAGAAGAGGAGAGUGGAAUUCCAUGUGUAGCGGUGAAAUGCGUAGAGAUAUGGAGGAACACCAGUGGCGAAGGCGA
rnacentral:rRNA from 1 species